rnacentral:rRNA from 1 species
CCUACGGGGGGCUGCAGUCGAGAAUCAUUCACAAUGGGGGAAACUCUGAUGGUGGGACGCCGCGUGCGGGAAUGAAGGUCUUCGGAUUGUAAACCCCUGUCAUGUGGGAGCAAAUUAAAUCGAUAGUACCACAAGAGGAAGAGACGGCUAACUCUGUGCCAGCAGUCGCGGUAAUACAGAGGUCUCAAGCGUUGUUCGGAAUCACUGGGCGUAAAGCGUGCGUAGGCUGUUUCGUAAGUCGUGUGUGAAAGGCGCGGGCUCAACCCGCGGACGGCACAUGAUACUGCGGGACUAGAGUAAUGGAGGGGGAACCGGAAUUCUCGGUGUAGCAGUGAAAUGCGUAGAUAUCGAGAGGAACACUCGUGGCGAAGGCGGGUUCCUGGACAUUAACUGACGCUGAGGCACGAAGGCCAGGGGAGCGAAAGGGAUUAGAUACCCGAGUAGUC